UUCCCCCGGCGCCCCCGCCCGCCGGCGCCCCCUUACUCGAUGAAGAAGACUCGCCCGUCCUUGCAAACGCCGUAGGACCAGUGCUCAGGGGAGAGGCCGGGUGAAGCUCCUGCACCUGUCUCGGAGCCUCGGCUGCCGUCCAGAAGGUGUCAAAAGGGCGGAAGACAUAAUCAGAAGAAAGUAGGAGCCAAGAAAAGGACCAGCAAUGGGAAGAGAGAGGACUUUGCUGUAUGUCACAGGAGUUUCAGACAAUAUGCAGGAGAAAGCAUGGGCUUGAAAUCAAGAAUGGACCUUUUGUGAAAGUCUGCUAGAGCCCUACACCUUCAGAGCUACUGCUAACUUAGAUGGAUUAAUUUCCCUGACAUUACACGAUCAAAAAUUCUUCCUCAAUAUUGUCAUCUUCCAACAACUCCAACUAUUCACAGCAUCUUAGUUCAUCUGCAAAUAAAAGCAGGAGAGAGUGUCUUCUAACCCCUUAUCCUAAGUCAGAAUUUCUAUUAAAAAAUAGAACUAAAACUUAUACAACUAAAACUUCUGUGCUGCUUGUCUUUGAAACCCCAACAAUUUUGUGUUAUUUUGAGCUUUAUAUGAAUGCUUUACUGGUGUUAAUUGCUCCAUCUGCAUCCCCCGAGAGUACUUUUUUGGAUUACUUCAUUAAGUUUCUUCUGCCUUGAGAGAACAGCAAUGUAUUUUAAUGUGUGCCAAAAAUCUGUAUCUAUGGUUUGCUAUUUCGAGAAUAAAAUGAAAUAACUGAGCAUGAACAUCUUUCCUACUUCAUCCCUUUCUUUGCAGCCCUUGCCCUUGAACUCAGCUUCACUCUGUCAGUACCAAGAUCCAAAUCUUCCCAUUUUCUCCUUUUACACUUUUAUUGCACAAAUCUCCACCAUCUACCCCAUCCAGGUCUGCAUAUUUCCCUUCACUUUUUCAACCCUUCAUAAACUAGAACUUUUCAACAAAACAUGACAAAGGAAUCUGAAAUCAAUACUGGAGACACUAUGCAAGAAUCUCAAAAAAAAAAA